rnacentral:rRNA from 1 species
CCUACGGGGGGCAGCAGUGAGGAAUAUUGGUCAAUGGGCGCGAGCCUGAACCAGCCAAGUCGCGUGAAGGAUGACUGCCCUAUGGGUUGUAAACUUCUUUUAUAAAGGAAUAAAGUGAGGCACGUGUGCCUUUUUGUAUGUACCUUAUGAAUAAGGAUCGGCUAACUCCGUGCCAGCAGCCGCGGUAAUACGGAGGAUCCGAGCGUUAUCCGGAUUUAUUGGGUUUAAAGGGAGCGUAGGUGGGUUGUUAAGUCAGUUGUUAAAGUUUGCGGCUCAACCGUAAAAUUGCAGUUGAUACUGGCAGUCUUGAGUACAGUAGAGGUAGGCGGAAUUCGUGGUGUAGCGGUGAAAUGCUUAGAUAUCACGAAGAACUCCGAUUGCGAAGGCAGCUUACUAGACGGCCACUGACGCUGAUGCACGAAAGUGUGGGUAUCAAACAGGAUUAGAUACCCGAGUAGUC